UUUAAAAAAAAAAAAAAAAAAAAAAAAAAAAAAAACAAAAAAACAAAAAAAAAAAACAACAAAAAAAAAAAAAAAAAAAAAAAAAAAAAAAAAAAAAAAAAAAAAAAAAAAAAAAACAAAAAAAAAAAAAAAAAAAAAAAAAGAAAAAAAAAAAAAAAAAAAAAAAAAAAAAAAAAAAAAAAAAAAAAAAAAAAAAAAAAAAAAAAAAAAAAAAAAAAAAAA
rnacentral:lncRNA from 1 species